rnacentral:rRNA from 1 species
UACGUAGGGUGCGAGCGUUGUCCGGAUUUAUUGGGCGUAAAGAGCUCGUAGGCGGUUUGUCGCGUCGGCCGUGAAAUCUCCACGCUUAACGUGGAGCGUGCGGUCGAUACGGGCAGACUGGAGUUCGGUAGGGGAGACUGGAAUUCCUGGUGUAGCGGUGAAAUGCGCAGAUAUCAGGAGGAACACCGGUGGCGAAGGCGGGUCUCUGGGCCGAUACUGACGCUGAGGAGCGAAAGCGUGGGGAGCGAACAGG